rnacentral:rRNA from 1 species
ACGCGUGGAACCUUACCAGGUCUUGACAUCCCUCUGACCGGUAUAGAGAUAUACCUUUCCUUCGGGACAGAGGAGACAGGUGGUGCAUGGUUGUCGUCAGCUCGUGUCGUGAGAUGUUGGGUUAAGUCCCGCAACGAGCGCAACCCUUGAUCUUAGUUGCCAGCAUUAAGUUGGGCACUCUAAGGUGACUGCCGGUGACAAACCGGAGGAAGGUGGGGAUGACGUCAAAUCAUCAUGCCCCUUAUGACCUGGGCUACACACGUGCUACAAUGGAUGGUACAAAGGGCAGCAAAACCGCGAGGUCGAGCAAAUCCCAUAAAACCAUUCUCAGUUCGGAUUGUAGGCUGCAACUCGCCUACAUGAAGCUGGAAUCGCUAGUAAUCGCGGAUCAGCAUGCCGCGGUGAAUACGUUCCCGGGCCUUGCACUCACCGCCCGU